UGACAGGUUCUUUUUUCUUUUUGCCAGUC
rnacentral:piRNA from 1 species